rnacentral:tRNA from 1 species
GGGUAGAUGGCGAAAUUGGUAUACGCAUUAUAUUCAAAAUAUGACAACUUCUGUUUUAAGGGUUCAAAUCCCUUUCUACCCAC